ACUACCAAGCCUGGCUAAUUUGUGUAUUUUUAGUAGAGAUGGGGUUUUGUCUUGUUGGCCAGACUGGUUUCAGACUCCUGGCCUUCGGUAAUCUACCCACCUCGGCUUCCCAAAGGGCUCGGAUUACAGACGUGAGCUACUGCACCCAACCCAACCCGCCUCACCGUUUUUUACGUGGGUUACCACAUAUGUAAAUAGAAUAGCUCAAUAAAUAUUCACUCUAUAACUGCAGGAGUUAGGGUAAAGGGAAAGAGGGUAAGACAACGUCAACAGGAGACCUGCACCCCAGAAAAUCCAACCCCCAUGGGGCACAGUCCAACGUGGGGGUGGGAGGAAUUUUGCCUGGAAUUACUGGGGCAACCCUCAAGGUGAGGGUAGGGGAAAACAGAAGAGGGGAUCCAUUUUUCAGGGGGAACAUGCUUGUCUUGGCGGUUUCUCCCCUCAAAGAUCCUGAGACCUCCAAGCAAGACCGUCGGGCCCCGCUUGGCUGGGGAGCGUUGAGCACGCCCAAGGAACGUGGACACAAGCCCCUCUGUACUGGUGUGUCUAUCGGGUCAGGGAUCCAGCCUGGCCCACGGUGACCCGGGCGGGCAGGUUCCGCACAGUCUAUUCGCUGAGCGCUGGCAGGGUGCUCAAUGCUGUUUAAACCCAGUCACUCCUCUCGACAGCCUCAGGCGGUUGAGGCUGUUACCAUCCCAUUUUACAGAUGAGUAAAUUGAGGCACGCGGAGUGGGGCGGUGAAGCGACUUGCUCAGGACGUCACAGCACUGCUGCCCCUGAUUUUGUCGGGGCUGGAGGCAGCCGGAGAGCCAGGCCGGCUCCGCACACGCUCGGGCCAGGGCAGCGGCUGGAGACCCAGGGGAGCCGGGGCGCGGAGCCAGACCAGCCCCGCCCCCGCGGGCCCGGCGCAGCCAAUGGGCGCCCGACCCGGAGUGGGGUGACGCGGCGUCAGCGCGUACUCCCGGGAGCCCAGCCCUGGGUCACAUGCGCCGCGCCCGCUCGACCCGGGAGGCAGGGAGGGGCGGCGGGGACAGGCUGAGCUCAGCCCCCAGGCCAGACACCUGGCCGGGACGGCCGCCAGCUUGGGCUCUGUGGUGAACUGGGCAAGUUCUUUCCAGCCCUCUCCGAGCCUCCAUGGCCAGCAUUGCCCCUGGAGGCUCACACCCACGUGGGCACCUGCAGGCUUAUCAUGAGUCAUUGAACACACCCUCUACAAAAGAGCUACUUCAACCCCAAAGAUUGCUGCACAGUGAGGAGUGUAGCUCACAAAGGCUGAGGAAUACUGAUACCUGUUCUCUGGGGGGUAACUGGCUGUUUGAGGAGAGGCCAACUGCAUACUGAAAGGGGUGAGUCAGCUUGCAGUGAGCCGAGAUUGCGCCACUGCACUCCAGCCUGGGCGACAGAGCGAGACUCCGUCUCAAAAAAAUAAAAUAAAAUAAAAUAAAAAAAAAGAAAGGGGUGAGUCUAGCUGGCAGCAGGGGGAGUGAGGAAAUCCACGUAAUAAGGCCCCUGUGGGCAUUGGGUUUACUACCCACUACACCAGUUUACGGAUCAGGAUCAGGAGAGUAAAGAACAGAGUGAGACGGUGACUUACCCAACACCUACAGUUAAGCCUGCAACCCCAGGUAGGCAUGGGAUGGACAGGAAAUGGCACCAGACAAUGGAGUCCGCUCAAUUUCCGGAAGCAUCCUGCUUACUCCCUAGUGCUGAGAGUAGAGAUUUUGCAUCCUGGAAUGUUGAGGGCCUGGGCUUGGAGGCCCUAGACAGACUCAUCUGAGGUCUGCUCCAGAAGCUCUGACAGGGGCUCCUGUAAAAUAAACUGAUGGAAUUUCUGGGUGGGUCAUGCAAACCUAUCAAGGUCUCACCUUCUGCCCUUCCCCUGCCCCCAGGACCCAAAAGAGACCCUUUUCUUGGAAAACAGGUGGGUUGGAAAAGAAUCCCUCUUUCUCAGGUGCUUUCAUGGGCAGGUGCAUCGUGAGCAGUGAUGGGACCACAAUGUUCCCACACUGCCCCUCCCAGAUCUCUAGGGAUGGAAAACAGUUCUCAUGGGGCUCUAAGGACAGAGCCUUCCAUCCAAGGGGUGAGGAGGCAACGCUGGGAGAGUCCAGAAGUUUGUCUGUGUCCAAGUCUGUGCCCUCAGUGUGUCACUCCCAUCUCUGGCCCCCUCCAUCCACACUGCGGUGACCAUCUAUUGUUUGUGCUUGCCCAGAUUUCAUUCUUCCACUGCUAAGAGCCUGAUUUUCAGGGUGGGUUCUGGGACUUUGGCUGGAACUACUGUAUUGGGAAAGAGGCACCCUCUCUCUGCCAGCAGGAUGUCUGCCUAGAGCUCCAGGUAGCCUGCAGUCAGCCACAUGGAAGAGCCAACCCAGAGGAGGCAGAACCAAGACUUAGACAGACAGAUUCCUGACCAAAUUCACAAGCACCUGGAUCCAGCUGUGCCUGAAGCUAAUUCAGUUACAUAAUUCUAUCUACAUAACACAUUCUUCUGAUUAAACAGUUUCUUCCAUAACCAAAAAAUGUCCAAUGUGUCAUCUCUAAAUGAGGACUUUGGGCCACAAACUGCCUCCUUUUGGCAAAGAGGUCCUGAUGCUACUCUACUCAAGCAUUUUCCCAAUUUCUUUUCCCACAGAGCCCCUCCUUGAUCAGAACAGCUGUGAAUGUAUUGGGAAAGCACAUUCAGCAAGUGCCCUCAAGUCGGUUGAGUCAGAGUUGCACAGCCACCCUCCUGUUCCUGUGCAGCUGGCCUACCCACAGGCUCCCACAAUGCACACCUCAAGUGUGCAGCUUCAGUGCCCUGGGGCUCAGCUCAGAGCCUCCUCUCCCUGCAGGCCCUGGAAGAGGGCUACGACACUUACUGACUGCAGACUCCCCUUGACUCUGGGAAUGGACCCAGGCUGCGCAUUCCCCAAGGGCAGGUCUGAAGCAGCCCCGUCCCUCCCCUCUGGCAUCAGCCUGGCACACAGCAGACUCUCAGGAACACUGCUGAAAGUACAAGUGGCCUAGGUGUCCUGGUGAUCCACAGUGGUGCCUCAGGACCAAUCUACUCUCCACAGGGUAGGGAUAGAGCUCAGGCCUCUUUCAGUGCUCACAUUGCCUGCUACAGUGCUGGGAGCACAUAAUGAGCCAGGGUCUAUGCUGUCUGUUCAAAGGGACCUGGGUUUGCAGCCCCCACCCCCACUUCAGAAGCCCACUCCCCUUCCCCACUGGGUGUGGGAACCUCUAUCUCCCUCCAACUGGUCGGAAACAGGGCUCUGUAGAGCUCCCUGGAGCCCAGGGAGGCAACUGGCCAAAGGGAGCUGGGUGCUGCCCCUUCUGGCUACGACUGAUGAUGGUGGUGGUCUCAACACAUCCCCUGCCGUGACCUGCCUCAUAUCAGUGGGCAGGAGAGCCCCUCCUGAGCCACCCUCCCAGAGGACUGUUGCCAGCUUCAUCUGCUGGCCGUGGAAGUGGUGUCUUUCCUGCCACUCCAUGGCCCUGUCUGGGAGGUCUGGCUCUGGGUUGGUUGCUGGUUCUGCCACUACUCUCUGUGUGGCCUGGGGCAAGGUUACAGCUCUUUCUAGUCCUCCAUGUCUUCUCUGGCAUAGCAAGAGGUUGGGAAGAUCUCCAGGUUCAUUGGGGGUUUGCCGAGUCCACCCUGACUUGAGGUCUGUCCUUAAGCCCCAGCGAAGGGAUUAAAGGGCCCUCAGCCUCCCAAGCCACCUGGAGAAGGCACAGGUCCCACAGGCUCCCACAGUGCACCCCUUAUGACCCCGUCUCUGGGCCUGAGGGGCCCCCUUCCGGGAGGACGGCUGCCUUACAACAAAGGGCUGCAGGCACCCACCUCCAGGACAAGGGGAGAGGGAAAAGAAGCCUGUUUAGAAAGGGAGAGCAGGCUGCAGGGAUGGGAGGAGACAGGUUUCUUUUUGGGGGGAUAAAAAUGUUCUAAAUUUCGUUGUGGGGAGGAUUGCCCAACUCUAUGAAUAUUCUGAAGAUUACUUAAUUGUACACUUUAAAUGGGUAAACUGUAUGCUAUGUGAAUUAAAUCUCAGUAAAGCUGUCAACAAAGAAA